rnacentral:rRNA from 1 species
AUACGGAGGAUCCGAGCGUUAUCCGGAUUUAUUGGGUUUAAAGGGUGCGCAGGCGGGAGAUUAAGUCGGCGGUGAAAUUUUGCAGCUCAACUGUAAAAGUGCCUUCGAAACUGAUUUCCUUGAGUGUAGAUGAAGUAGGCGGAAUUUGUGGUGUAGCGGUGAAAUGCAUAGAUAUCACGAGGAACUCCGAUUGCGCAGGCAGCUUACUAAACUACUACUGACGCUCAGGCACGAAGGCGUGGGGAUCAAACGGGAUUAGAUACCCUGGUAGUCCACGCAGUAAACGAUGAUUACUAGCUGUUUGCGAUACAAUGUAAGCGGCUGAGCGAAAGCGUUAAGUAAUCCACCUGGGGAGUACGUUCGCAAGAAUGAAACUCAAAGGAAUUGACGGGG